GAUGAACGCUGGCGGCGUGCCUAAUACAUGCAAGUCGAGCGAACAGAUGAGGAGCUUGCUCCUCUGACGUUAGCGGCGGACGGGUGAGUAACACGUGGAUAACCUACCUAUAAGACUGGGAUAACUUCGGGAAACCGGAGCUACUACCGGCUAAUAUAUUGAACCGCAUGGUUCAAUAGUGAAAGACGGUUUUGCUGUCACUAAUAGAUGGAUCCGCGCCGCAUUAGCUAGUUGGUAAGGUAACGGCUUACCAAGGCAACGAUGCGUAGCCGACCUGAGAGGGUGAUCGGCCACACUGGAACUGAGACACGGUCCAGACUCCUACGGGAGGCAGCAGUAGGGAAUCUUCCGCAAUGGGCGAAAGCCUGACGGAGCAACGCCGCGUGAGUGAUGAAGGUCUUCGGAUCGUAAAACUCUGUUAUUAGGGAAGAACAAAUGUGUAAGUAACUAUGCACGUCUUGACGGUACCUAAUCAGAAAGCCACGGCUAACUACGUG
rnacentral:rRNA from 1 species